CGUCAUGAAUAUUUGCGCCAGGCCUCGUUACAUGGCCCCUGCACCUCAUACACACACAUACACACGCGCGCACACAAACACACACGCACGCGCGCGCGCGCGCACACACACACACUGUUCAUUGCGCUCGAACGGUGGCGCUACUUCAUUCAUGAGGUCGAUCUGAUGCCCCUACCGCCGUACCGGGCCCUGAGCUAGCCCUGUCAGAACUGUACGUGCGCGUGCGUUACUUGUCAGUCAGGGCGAGAUACGUGUAGUGCAGGGGAUUCAAGGGAUUUCCCCGUGUCCGCACCCGCAAGGACCAGUGCUAUACAUUUACCCGCUACUGUGCUAGUGCUACAUGUAGUAGUAGUAGACUAGUAGUACGGUCCAGGUGAUACAUACCGGUAAUCGUAUUGUAUGUCUGCGCUACAAUCGAAAUACGAGAGUCGAUAGAAACUUGCCGAGACUACAAGUUUCGAUUCCUAAUAGAGCAUUUUCGAUACAAUUGUGUCCGUAUCAGUGAAAGUCGAUGCGUUCCUGGAAAUGCGAACGGAUUGAGUUUCAUGUUCUCUUUUCUGCAGCAGAAUAUUUCAGUGGCUUUUCAGAACUUCAUUCUAGUGGCGACAGUUUGCCUUUGCUGUAGUGUAUGGCAAGAACCCAGAACACAUGUUUAUUGCAGAUCUACUGCAGGGCUUGUUCCGCGGGUUUAGUGCAGAUCUACUGCAGGGCUUGUUCCUCGGGUUUAUUGCAGAUCUACUGCAGGGCUUGUUCCUCGGGUUUAUUGCAGAUCUACUGCAGGGCUUGUUCCUCGGGUUUAUUGCAGAUCUACUGCAGGGCUUGUUCCUCGGGUUUAUUGCAGAUCUACUGCAGGGCUUGUUCCGCUGCCACUCCUGAUAUACAGUCAGUUCUGUGACUGUUGGAGAGCCAGAGAGACCAAGCUUCAAGAGAGGACAUGAGAUGAUCAUGAUGAUGGUACACAGAACACGGAUUGUCAAGUGCACCGUGCAGUGAAGUCACUCCACAACACGCCACAUUCCUGCCACUUCCAGGCAACCAAGGCUGGUGAAGGUGUACGUCCAGCCACAUUCGUGCCACUUCCAGGCAACCAAGGCCGGUGCAGGUGUACGUCCAGCCACAUUCGUGCCACUUCCAGGCAACCAAGGCUGAUGCAGGUGUACGUCCAGCUGCAUUCGUGCCAGGGGGGGGGGGGGGAGAUCUCCCACUAGGAUAACCCACGGGUCCCCUGCUUACAAUCCGCAGCCACGCCACCGGGCCAGUGUGUUCCGGGAACCGGGCCGCUGUUCAGCGACCCGGCGCAGCACGCAUACCCCGCAGCUUGGCCGCCGUACCAUCCUGCCUGUUUAGAAAACAUGCGCAUGUGCGGACGUAUGCGUGUGUGCGUUUGUGUUGCAUACGCUUGUGCCUGUGUCCUCCUAGGCUCGCUAGCCGCCGCUCUCUCAGCGAGAGCAGAGCACCUGAUUGCCAACUCGGUAGCCACUGGCACACAGCACACGUACGCCCCGGGCUGGCGUUCAUUCCUGGAGUUCAUGGGUCGCAUGCGCCGCGACGCAUAUCACCCAGAUCAGAACGAUGUCCUACUGUUCGCUGCCGCAAUGUCUCACUAAGUCAGCGCCAGCACUCUGAGAGUCUACCUGGCCGCGAUCAAAUACCACCUCCUCCGCAUGGGAGGCCCGGUCGGGGCUACACCCUCAAGCCCUGCUCAAGGGCUUAGAGAGGGAGAUAACGUCGCUUCCCAGACAUCCGUCAGCACGCCCUCAGUGCCAAGCGAUCACCGUCCACCAGCUGAAGGUUCUCCGCCAGUUCUUGGAUCUGUCCUUGUACUCCGCGGUAGACAGACUAAUAAUAUGGGCUGCUCUUACGACAGCCUUCCACGGCCUGCUGCUGCGUGUGAGUGAGUACACGUCGCUGUCACCACACGGUCCCGGCAGCCUCAAUACGCUGAGGCGCGAACACCUCCGGUUAGCCCAGCAGGAGGCCUCGCUGCAGCUCCAGAGGACGAAGACGUCUCAAUUAACAGCAGGCGGGGAGGUAGCGCUGCAUCGCUACGCUGACCCCGCACUAUGUCCCGUCCGAGCCCUGCAGGCUUACGUUCGGUCCAGCAAAUGGAGCAAUGACAAGCAACCCCUAUUCAAGUUUCAGGAUGGUCGCCAUCUCACGCCGAACGACAUCAAUGAUGUCCUACACAAAGUGCUAGGUCCAAGCAUCAGCAGCCAUUCCUUACGCACCGGGGGAGCCACACACAUGGUGGAUUGAGGCGCACCAGAGUAUGCCCUGAUGGCUGCAGGCUGCUGGUCCAGCAGGGCAUAUCGCACGUACAUUCUCAGGCCCGCAGGCAUGCCACAGCACUACUAGAGCCUGCGUGUCGCAAGCCAUUCGGUACCUUAAUUGGAGGCACGGGUGCUGUCGAUGGGCGCUGCAUAGUGCACGCACAUCGGCACCAUUGAACUAUUCAUUUUUACUAAGAUUUAGUGUUCCGCUGCCAUAGCAACCUAGUAGUACACGUAGCCGCUCUGACGGCGCAGGACCCCGCGGGUCGCUUCUGCUGUCCUUGCCUCUCUGAUGUGUGAUAUGUGUACAUCAUUUAUAAUCAUAACCUCAUACUGAGUACAUGUACGUCAUACUUGAUUACCGAUCACAGGCUCAUGAAUAUUCACGCUGGAAUAAACGCUUGCGACACCCCACAGGCUCGUCUCUGUUGUGUGGCAUGAUGGUUAACUGUCACUUGUCACGUGUCACUUGCAACUGAGUACCUAGACCUACAACUAACCUACAAGUACAAGUAGUACUGUUCAGUGGUCAUGUACAUGUGAAUUCUGUACUAACUCUUACAGUUCUAGUCCAUGUCAGCUCACAGCCUCACAGGCACAGCGUACCAGGGCUAGGGACUUCCCCUAUCUAGCCCUGCUACAUUUGUAUGUGUUUAGCUCCUCCACUGCACACGUACAAUGUCUACGAUAGUCAUGCAGUCUGUCAUCACGUGA